AGAACGAACGCUGGCGGCAUGCCUAACACAUGCAAGUCGAACGAGACCUUCGGGUCUAGUGGCGCACGGGUGCGUAACGCGUGGGAAUCUGCCCUUGGGUUCGGGAUAACAGUUGGAAACGACUGCUAAUACCGGAUGAUGUCUUCGGACCAAAGAUUUAUCGCCCAAGGAUGAGCCCGCGUAGGAUUAGCUUGUUGGUGAGGUAAGAGCUCACCAAGGCGACGAUCCUUAGCUGGUCUGAGAGGAUGAUCAGCCACACUGGGACUGAGACACGGCCCAGACUCCUACGGGAGGCAGCGAGUGGGGAAUAUUGGACAAUCGGGCGAAAGCCUGAUCCAGCAAGUGCCGCGUGAGUGAUGAAGGUCCUUAAGGUUGUAAAGUCUCGUUUACCCGGAUGAUAAUGA
rnacentral:rRNA from 1 species